GAUCCCGCACUGCUUUACGAGGCUUGUUUGCCGAGCUUUGGACUUGCCGCGAUGCUGGUGGUCGAUGUGGGCUCUCUCUUGGAGCUCAACCCAACAAUCUGCAGUUUUUAAACUUCUGCAUGCAAAGGACUGAAAUGGCGAUAGUGCCAGCCUCGGAAACCAAAUUUUCUGAACAAUGCGGUGCGCUCAGCACAAUAACUUUGCUCAUCGACUGAAGUUGGGGGAAAACUGUGACCUGGUUGCUAUGCAGACGGGUCGAGUUGCUUGCAGCCUUCGCGUCAAGUGUUGCCAAGAUCUGAUGGUUGUAGAAUGUUGCUGCUUCCGUGCAAGGUUGGUUGUGUGUUUUCUGCCAGAUUUGUUGUAUGAGAUGCAGCGGAUACUUUUUUGCCUUGGCUAGGUUUUGUUGGUUUUUAACAUGAUAUGCGUAGAGAUUUGUACCUUGUUUCUGUUCUUUUGGGUGAUGCUACAGAAAUGAAUGUUAUGAGAAAGUGUGCGUCCAAUCAAGAAACCCUUACCUAACGGGCUGCUAGCACUUUCCCAAAAGUCUUGGAUUUCUGUAGUCCACUUGGCUACCUGUUCUCGGAUUUUUCAAGUGAGCAGUCGUUUUCAGUGCAUUGAAGCUAGAGCCUGCCGAAAGAAAAACCAGACAUACAAACAAAUGAACAAACAAACAGAACCCUGAUAUUUUGAAGGACUAUCAAAAUAUCAAUUUUGAAACGUGCGCUUAGGUUCGAAUAUCACUAAUAACACCUAAACUCAUAAAUGCUCAAGUUCCAAGUGCACAAGUAUGUUGAUUGGUUGUGCGAAGUUUGAGUGCGGAAUCUGUCGUGGAAAUAGUUACAGUUGCUAAGGAUAUGGGGAUUGUUUAUUGUCAAGAAGUUGAGAAUCAACGGCAAGUGAUGUGAUUAACAAUCACGUCUCACUGAGGAUAGCACGAUUUGCCGUGGUCUAAUUGAAGUUAUCAUUCAAGUUUGUAAGCUGGGUUCAACUUGCUCAAGAUGUACGAAGUUUUUAGGUGACUGCAGUUGUCUGAAUCUUAUGUCGUUGGUAGUUUAAAUAGGAAAAGUUCUUUUCCAUCUUUACUUCUGGUUGAGGCAUUUGUUUGCUUUGUUCGUGCUCCUUGCCCAGGUUGCACUGUGAUAACUGUUGUUCGGUUAUAAACAUGAUAACUCGUGGAAGUCGCACGUACGCAGACUAUGUGCUUAGUACCUAUAACGUACCUCGAUCAAUUUUUUCUCUAUUCUUAAUCAACUAAGCAUCAUUCUAAUCCACCAAUUUGAUCAAGUGGUUUGAUGACUGCAGCAUUGGGUAUAAACUGACAGGUACUUAUUCUUCAGAAAGACCGUGAUUCGGGCUGCGAUGCUUGGUGAAAUCUAGUAACCAGUUAUGUAGGAGUAAAGAGAAUCAGCCUCUUUACGAUCAACCGUGUUACCAUUUAAAACACUUCGUCUUACUGUCUGUUGUUGAUUCAUAUAUAUAUACAUGUAAAAACAGCAAUAUAUGUAUAUUGCUGUUUAUCCCUAUAGGUUAUGAAGAACCUAAGGUUACUGAUAUAAGUUAUAACUUAGACUUGAAAGACUGGUGCAGUAAAUACUAAAAAUCGGUGUACUGAACUAACAAAGUGUAAGUUGCAACUGUGUACUCGGAUCUCUUUGCGCUUUUGAGAUUUUACCCUCUUGCAGGUCUGAUUUUGCAAGAUGUUAAUCUGUGAUAGCAAAGUCAGUGUUACGAUUCAGAUAAUAUAUGGAGGCCUUUUGUGAUUGAAUGCCAUGGCUUUAGUGUUUAAGCUUUGCACUUAUUGUGUUUACCUGACCACGUGUUUGAAAUCUGCUGUCCAACCAGCUUGACCAGUGCAGGCAAAGUUUUGAAUCCCUUUUGAUACGCUUGUUGAUGUCUCGUAGUAUCUAUAAUCGGCGUAUCUCUCGUUUACUACCUGCUAUCCCCUGGCAAGCAAAGAGCCUUGCAAAGAAACAAACGAUUAGAUAUGUGGUGCUUUGAAUAUCACUGGUGUGCGUGAUCUGGUAUUCCAUGCACUUGCAGUAAGUUGAUCGCUUGCAGCAAAAACUGAUCCAGCUUUCAGUGGUCAACGCUUCAUUUUAACUUGCUUAAGUUAUUCUAGUAGAAGUUACAUUUGUUGCUGAGAUUUUCAUAUUUAUCUUGACUGUUCUUUCCUUCCUGCAGUAACAGAUUAAUGAGCUUGCAGAAACCCAUGACUUGGCGGGAGGCGAUCAUUUGGAAGACUUUUAGGUACAGUAAACUUUAUCCUUUAAGUCUUGUGUUGUGUUAAAGCUAUAAAUAUGUUGAUGUGAUAAACUGAUUCAACUUUGGUUUAUUGCUAUUGAGAGGUGUAUGGGAUAAUAGUUUUUGGGCUGAACAAAAUGAACACGUCAUCAUGAUUCUUAAGGAUUUAGCUUUAACCGUUUCAAAGUCUACUGUGUGUGAAUUUGACUCAAUCUUGAAAAAAGUGGAGGUUUACUUUAGCAAAGCCACAGCACAUCCAGAGUAGAAUUGCUCUGAGUGUUCUUUGCCUGUAACAAGUUCUAGUGUACCAACUUUCUCACACCACUUCAAGUUUUUUUAAGUAGUCUUCCUAAGAAUGAGAGACUCAAGCUAACUAUUGACUUACAGGAAUUUGACACUACGCAACAAUAUGAUUUCAUGACUUGAAGUUACUCAUCACUGGUGUUGUAAGCCCGACUGACAGUUCAUAGGUAUCAACAGGAUGUAAGUGUAUUCGAAAUAUUGAGAGUCUCUUCGUGUAAAGGAUGUAUCGGUGCUGGUUUGUGGGUGGUGAGUUCGAGAGGUUUCAAGUGAAUUCGAUUCCAGCCAUGUUCCAUUCUGAACAUCAGAGCUGUUUUUGACUUCGACGAAUAGUAUUACGUGCAAUAGCUUGCAGAAACUCUGCUUACCUUCAGGUGUGUUCUCGUUUGAAACCAGUUUGCUACAAGUGAUUUUGCUUCUUAUGCCCACUCAGAGUAAAAAACUAGCCAGCACUCGAGUUGUUGAAUACCAAAUGAGCUCUGAACUUGAGAUCGAUACAUUGUUCGAUUAAUGCUUGCAAGAACUUGUAUUCGAGAAGAGCAAACUUGUAAAUAAUCUCAACAAUUCAGUUUCUGUUUUAGUUCCAAUAGACACCUGAAAACUGUGCUAUUGUAUAAUCUGAUGCAACAAUCUCAAUCUUAGUGCCCAUAAAUAUUUACAUAAAACAAUUAUUUACUUAUACUGAAAAGUAAUGAUACUUUUUGUAAUUCAAUCCAAUUAGCACAAUAUCAUUGUUUUAUAAUCCA